ACCUAUUGGAUUUACAUGUCCCCAAUAUGUUUCCUUUUGCGGAUGCUCAAGUGGAUCACCAUAAACCUCACUUGUACUAGUAAGCAAGAACCUCGCACCAAUUCUCUUGGCAAGGCCCAACAUGUUAAGAGUACCCAUCACAUUGGUCUUGUAAUCAUAGUUAAGGAUCUCAAAUACAUCCAAUCAAAUAAAUAAUAAAAUACCAAUUAAACAUGCACGGAAUUCCUUAACAUGUUAAUUAGUGCAAAAAAAGAAUUUUUACACUGUCAGGCUACUUAAAAAGCCAAAUUGAUGGUCAAGCAUUCUACUUAAAAGCCACAUCAUAGCAAACUUUCAAUGAUAAGCAUAGAUUAGCAACCUGCAACAUGUUAAGAGUAUCCAUCAUAAUUGUCUUGUAAUUACAGUUAAGGAUCUCAAAUACAUCCAAAUUAACAAAGAUAAUAGAAUGCCAAUUAAUGAAUUAAAAAGGAAAGGCAGUCUGGUGCACUAAGCUCUCUCUAUGCGCGGGGUUCGGGGAAGGGCCGGACCACAUUGGUUUUUAUGUAUAUAGCCUUACCUUGCAUUUUUGCAAGAGGUUUUUUCGGUGGCUUGAACUCGUAACCUCCUAGUCACACGGCUGCAACUUUUACCGUUGCGCCAAGGCUCACCAAUUAAACAUGCAUGAAAUUCCUUAACAGGUUAACACUUAUCGAGUUUAACUUUUAUGCACCGAUAGUACAAAGAAUAUUUACACUAUCAUGCAACCUAAAAGUCAAUUAUAGAUAACUUUCUAUAGCAAGAAUGGAUUACUAACCUAGAAAUAUGGUAAAUGACCUAUUAUAGCCCGUAAAACGUAAAACUACACUGAUAGUAUAAAAGUAUUUUCCAAUGUCUGUGUAUAUAACUUGAAUCCAUAAUUAACACAAUAUAAACAAAAUAAUGAUGUGGAAAAGGAUAUAAUAGUUUUGACAGGAUUAUACUUGUAAUGAACAGGAGAGGCAGGGCACGCCAAGUGGUAGAUCUGAUCCACUUCUAACAAAAUAGGCUCAACAACAUCAUGUCUAAUUAACUCAAAUCUAUGAUUCCCAAAAUGAUGCAUCACAUUUUCUUUCCUCCCAGUAAAAAAAUUAUCAAUCACAAUAACAUCAUCACCUCGUUUAAUUAACUUAUCAACCAAAUGACUUCCUACAAAACCGGCCCCACCAGUCACUACAAUCCGCAUGCGUUUUUUCCCUAUCCCAACUGGGACCCGCCCCGUCUUAUACGACGUCGUAACGGUUGAUGUAUGGGUUAAGGGCACGGAUUCGGAAACGUGAAAUGAUGAAUUGGGGAUUGGAGAAGAUGGGUUUAGGUUGGGCUGGAGAAUGAAAAAUGUUGAACCAAUGAGAAUGCCAACUAAGAUGAAGAGAAGGCGUUGUUCUUUAAGAAGAUAAUUAAUGGAUCU
rnacentral:lncRNA from 1 species